GCGGGCGUAGCUCAAUGGUAGAGCUUCAGUCUUCCAAACUGACGGUGCGGGUUCGAUUCCCGUCGCCCGCU
rnacentral:tRNA from 2 species